rnacentral:tRNA from 1 species
AGCGGAUUGAUGUAAAUAGUAACAGGUUUGUCUCAUGAUCAAAUAAUUUAGGUGCGAAUCCUAAAUCCGCAU